rnacentral:rRNA from 1 species
UGCCUUAGUAACGGCGAGUGAAGCGGCAAUAGCUCAAAUUUGAAAGCUGGCCCCUUUGGGGUCCGCGUUGUAAUUUGUAGAGGAUGAUUCGGCGAGGGCUCCCGUCUAAGUCCCCUGGAACGGGGCGUCACAGAGGGUGAGAAUCCCGUAUGUGAUGGGUUGCCUUAGCCAUGUGAAUCUCCUUCGACGAGUCGAGUUGUUUGGGAAUGCAGCUCUAAAUGGGAGGUAAAUUUCUUCUAAAGCUAAAUACCGGCCAGAGACCGAUAGCGCACAAGUAGAGUGAUCGAAAGAUGAAAAGCACUUUGGAAAGAGAGUUAAAAAGUACGUGAAAUUGUUGAAAGGGAAGCGCUUGCAGCCAGACUUGUCCGCAGUUGCUCAGCCGGUCUCCUGACCGGCGUACUCUUCUGCGGCCAGGCCAGCAUCAGUUCGGGCGGUCGGAUAAAGACCUCGGGAAUGUAGCUCCUCUCGGGGAGUGUUAUAGCCCGGGGUGGAAUGCGGCCAGCCUGGACUGAGGAUCUCGCUUCGGCUAGGAUGCUGGCGUAAUGGCUGUAAGCGGCCCGUCUUGAAACACGGACCAAGGAGUCUAACAUCUAUGCGAGUGUUUGGGUGUCAAACCCAUACGCGUAAUGAAAGUGAACGGAGGUGGGAACCGCAAGGUGCACCAUCGACCGAUCCUGAUGUCUUCGGAUGGAUUUGAGUAAGAGCAUAGCUGUUGGGACCCGAAAGAUGGUGAACUAUGCCUGAAUAGGGUGAAGCCAGAGGAAACUCUGGUGGAGGCUCGCAGCGGUUCUGACGUGCAAAUCGAUCGUCAAAUUUGGGUAUAGGGGCGAAAGACUAAUCGAACCAUCUAG